AAUUUAAUCUGGCAGCAGAGAGACCAUGAUCAUGAAGGUGGUGAGCCCAGGGCAAGGCUCACCUAUUGCACUACCGUGUGCUGACCCCUGCGGUUCCCCAAAUGCGCAAAACUGGACUGCAUCAUUUGUGGCCCUGGGGGACUGUGUUUGCACUCUCCCCUG